AAGGCUUCAGUACGACUCAGUCAGAACUAUAAGUCUCAAAGCCCCGACGAGUAGGGUGGCGUGCCGGUGCGCGUUGAAGGCCAAGACGUGAGUCAGGCUGGAGCCGCCGGUAGUGCAGAUCUUGGUGGUAGUAGCAAGUACUCUGGUGAACCAACCUGGAGCUGUGAGGUCUGGAUCAGGGUUCCAUGUCAACAGUGAUUGAACAUGGGUGAGUCGAUCCUAAGCCAACUGUGAAAGCAGUGACAUCCCGACAAUGGAGCAUACGUGCGCCGCACUUACACCCCCAUACCAAAGCUCUCGAGUAACUCCUUGCGUAUGGACUGGAACAAAAAGGUUACGCUCAUUAGCGUUGUGGUACUCUGUCAGGCUGUGGUGAACUUUUCGAGGAGGAAAGAGAGUGGGUGAGCGUGAGUUGCUUUCGCAUGGUUCCUGCGUCUGGUUUUAUGUCUGGCGAAAGGGAAUGGGGACUUUGUUCCUUGACCGGUCCCGGCACCCUCGAUUGGCUCUGCCAAUUAAUGGUCCAUGCAAAUGGAACCAGGCCACAGCCGCCGGCAGUCGCCCGAGGAAGAGUUUUCUUUUCUGCUUAACGCACGAGGUCAUCCCUGGAAACAGUUCGGCUGGCGAAAGGGUGCCCCGUUGCGGCAGAGCGCCACGACUGUCGUGUGCGUCUCGGUGUUCCUGCCGGUCCGUGAAGACGUGGUCGAGGGGAUUGCUCUUGUAUCAACGAAACGCCCGACAAGUUCGGGACGGACCGUACCCUAUAUCCGCAUCUGGUCUCCAAGGUUCGUAGCCUCUGCAGAGUCAGACACAUGUAGGUAAGGGAAGUCGGCAAACUCGAUCCGUAACUUCGGGAAAAGGAUUGGCUCUGAGGGCCGAGCUGGGCCGGGCCUUGCCUGCAAAGCAGUACCUAUAGUGACCGGAGUUUUAGGAGUGCGAGGGGCUCUAGUAGCUGCUUGUGCGUGUGUGCGUUCGCGCGUGCGCGCGUGUGGGCACGAACGAGUCCACCGCUCCGCUCCAACCACGAACGGCUGUGACGGCAAGGGCUCUGGGCGGGAGCGAUCAAACCGUUGGCCUCCAGCUCGUCUGGCUGGCGGCGGUGCUCCGUCUGACCCAUACGGCUCCAGCGGCUAGCGGCUAACUCAGAACUGUCAUGGACCAAGGGAAUCCGACUGUCUAAUUAAAACAAAGCGUCGUGACGGCCCCUGUUGGGUGUUGACGCGACGUGAUUUCUGCCCAGUGCUCUAA
rnacentral:rRNA from 1 species